CAGCAGCCGCGGUAAUACCGAGGGUGCGAGCGUUAAUCGGAUUUACUGGGCGUAAAGCGUGCGUAGGCGGCUUCUUAAGUCGGAUGUGAAAUCCCUGAGCUUAACUUAGGAAUUGCAUUCGAUACUGGGAAGCUAGAGUAUGGGAGAGGAUGGUAGAAUUCCAGGUGUAGCGGUGAAAUGCGUAGAGAUCGGGAGGAACAUCAGUGGCGAAGGCGGCCAUCUGGGACAACACUGACGCUGAGGCACGAAAGCGUGGGGAGCAAACAGGAUUAGAUACCCCAGUAGUCCCUGUCUCUUAUAC
rnacentral:rRNA from 1 species